rnacentral:rRNA from 1 species
AAUCAGUUCAGCACUAAGUCACUUUGUCUUUAUGGCAAAUGUGAGAUGCAGUGUAUGGAAUGUCAAAUUUCUAGUAUGAGAAAUUAAUGAUUUAAGUCCUUCUUAAAUGAGGCCAUUUACCCAUAGAGGGUGCCAGGCCCGUAUAACGUUAAUGAUUACUAGAUGACAUUUCCAAAGAGUCGUGUUGCUUGAUAGUGCAGCACUAAGUGGGUGGUAAACUCCAUCUAAAACUAAAUAUAGCCAUGAGACCGAUAGUAAACAAGUACCGUGAGGGAAAGUUGAAAAGAACUCUGAAUAGAGAGUUAAAUAGUACGUGAAACUGCUUAGAGGUUAAGCCCGAUGAACCUGAAUAUUCUUUAUGGAAAAUUCACCACUAUGAUUAUAUAAUAUAUAACCAUUAAUAUUAUAAUAGUGUGCAUUUUUUUCAUUAAAGGACAUUGUGAUUUAUUAACUUUAAUUUUUAAUUUAUCAUACGAUCAUUUGCGUAAGUUUAACAAUAUGUAUCAAUUUGCUUGCAGUUUGAGAAUAUUGGAUAAAUGCUUUUGAUUUGAUAAAGUGUUGAUGGAUAUUGCGUAUGGUGCUUAAAUAUAUAUUUCAUUUAUAUAUUUAGUAAUAGCAUAUUAAUCAUUGAUUUUUAUGUUUAUUAUUUAUGCACUGUAUGAUCAACAAUGCGAAAGAUUCAGGAGACCUUCGGGACCCGUCUUGAAACACGGACCAAGGAGUCUAACAUAUUUGCAAGUUAUUGGGCAUAAAAAACCUAAUAGCGCAAUUAACAUGACUUUUAUAAUUAUUAUAAUAAUAAUAAUAAUAAUAAUAUAAUAAUUAUGGGAUUAGUUUUUAGCCACUAUUUUUAUUUUAUUUAAUUAUAAAUAUAUAAUUAUAGUCUAUUAAUUCAAUCCCGGGGCGUUCUAUUAGUUAUGUAUAAUAAUAUUAUAUUAUUUAUACCUCUAACUGGAGCGUACCAUGAGCAUAUAUGCUGUGAC